GGGGAAUAUUGCGCAAUGGGGGAAACCCUGACGCAGCGACGCCGUGUGAGGGAAGAAGGCCUUCGGGUCGUAAACCUCUGUCGGGAGGGAAGAACCGCCAGGGUCCGAACAGGACUCUGGCCUGACGGUACCUCUAGAGGAAGCGCCGGCUAACUCCGUGCCAGCAGCCGCGGUAAUACGGAGGGCGCGAGCGUUAAUCGGAAUCACUGGGCGUAAAGCGCACGUAGGCGGCUUGAUAAGUCGGGCGUGAAAGCCCUCGGCCCAACCGAGGAAUUGCGUUCGAUACUGUUUGGCUUGAGUCCUGGAGAGGGUGGCGGAAUUCCGGGUGUAGGAGUGAAAUCCGUAGAUAUCCGGAGGAACACCGGUGGCGAAGGCGGCCACCUGGACAGGUACUGACGCUGAGGUGCGAAAGCGUGGGGAGCAAAC
rnacentral:rRNA from 1 species